GUCAUAGCCUAACGGCUGAACCAGCAACUUGGAAGAAUGUAUAGCGAUUGCUAAUUGUUUUAUUAUAAAAAAAAUAAAACAGUAUCGAUUUAAUCGAAUAAAAUUCUGGGUAAAAUUAUGAUAAUGACAUUAUUUACCUAUGAGUCUUGACCAAAUUACGUGCCAGCAGUCGCGGUAAUACGUAGAAGACUAGUGUUAUUCAUCUUUAAUAGGUUUAAAGGGUACCUAGACGGUAUAUUAAGCCUUAAUUGGGACUGAUAUACUAGAGUUACUUAUGAGGAAGUUUUAAUGUACUAGAGGAUAAGAGAUAAAAUUCUAUGAUACCUUUUUUCUAACGAAAAAUUUCGGCACAGGUAUAGGUGAAGGCAUCUUCCUAUGGGAUAACUGACGUUGAGGGACGAAGGCUUUUUAUAGCGAACAGGAUUAGAUACCCUGGUAGUAAAAGCAGAAAAUGAUGAGUGUCAUAUAUUAGAUAAAUAUUUAUUAUAUAAAUGAAAGUGUAAACACUCCACCUCAAGAGUAAUUUGGCAACAUUGGAACUGAAAUCAUUAGACCGUAUCUGAAACCAGUAGUGAAGUAUGUUAUUUAAUUUGAUAAUCCGCAAAAAACCUUACCACAACUUGAAUGUUUACAUACCUAUUCUUAUUAUAUUUUUAUGUGUAGUACAACGUAUAAGAUAUAUUGCUCUUUACGUAAUUGUAUAUUAAGUUUAAUUAUGUAGAUACAAGUGUUGCACGGCUGUCUUCAGUUAAUGUCGUCAGAUUUUGGUUAGAUCCAUUAAAUUAACGUAAACCCUUGCUCUAGUUUUAAGUAGAGUAGUUCUCCGCUAUAUUGGAUAAGAUAACAGGGAUAA
rnacentral:rRNA from 1 species